rnacentral:rRNA from 1 species
UACGUAGGGUGCAAGCGUUGUCCGGAAUUAUUGGGCGUAAAGAGCUCGUAGGCGGUCUGUUACGUCGGCUGUGAAAACCUGGGGCUCAACCCCGGGCCUGCAGCCGAUACGGGCAGACUAGAAUUCGGUAGGGGAGACUGGAAUUCCUGGUGUAGCGGUGAAAUGCGCAGAUAUCAGGAGGAACACCGGUGGCGAAGGCGGGUCUCUGGGCCGAUAUUGACGCUGAGGAGCGAAAGCGUGGGGAGCAAACAGG